rnacentral:rRNA from 1 species
GUUGUUGGGUAGGGGAGCGUUCUGUAAGCCUGUGAAGGUGUGUCGUGAGGCAUGCUGGAGGUAUCAGAAGUGCGAAUGCUGACAUAAGUAACGAUAAAGCGGGUGAAAAGCCCGCUCGCCGGAAGACCAAGGGUUCCUGUCCAACGUUAAUCGGGGCAGGGUGAGUCGACCCCUAAGGCGAGGCCGAAAGGCGUAGUCGAUGGGAAACGGGUUAAUAUUCCCGUACUUGGUGUUACUGCGAAGGGGGGACGGAGAAGGCUAUGUUGGCCGGGCGACGGUUGUCCCGGUUUAAGCGUGUAGGUGUGUGUUCCAGGUAAAUCCGGUUCACUUUAACACUGAGGCGUGACGACGAGGCACUACGGUGCUGAAGCAACAAAUGCCCUGCUUCCAGGAAAAGCCUCUAAGCAUCAGGUAACAUCAAAUCGUACCCCAAACCGACACAGGUGGUCAGGUAGAGAAUACCAAGGCGCUUGAGAGAACUCGGGUGAAGGAACUAGGCAAAAUGGUGCCGUAACUUCGGGAGAAGGCACGCUGACACGUAGGUGAAGUGAUUUACUCAUGGAGCUGAAGUCAGUCGAAGAUACCAGCUGGCUGCAACUGUUUAUUAAAAACACAGCACUGUGCAAACACGAAAGUGGACGUAUACGGUGUGACGCCUGCCCGGUGCCGGAAGGUUAAUUGAUGGGGUCAGCGCAAGCGAAGCUCCUGAUCGAAGCCCCGGUAAACGGCGGCCGUAACUAUAACGGUCCUAAGGUAGCGAAAUUCCUUGUCGGGUAAGUUCCGACCUGCACGAAUGGCGUAAUGAUGGCCAGGCUGUCUCCACCCGAGACUCAGUGAAAUUGAACUCGCUGUGAAGAUGCAGUGUACCCGCGGCAAGACGGAAAGACCCCGUGAACCUUUACUAUAGCUUGACACUGAACAUUGAGCCUUGAUGUGUAGGAUAGGUGGGAGGCUUUGAAGCGUGGACGCCAGUCUGCGUGGAGCCGACCUUGAAAUACCACCCUUUAAUGUUUGAUGUUCUAACGUGGACCCGUGAUCCGGGUUGCGGACAGUGUCUGGUGGGUAGUUUGACUGGGGCGGUCUCCUCCUAAAGAGUAACGGAGGAGCACGAAGGUUGGCUAAUCCUGGUCGGACAUCAGGAGGUUAGUGCAAUGGCAUAAGCCAGCUUGACUGCGAGCGUGACGGCGCGAGCAGGUGCGAAAGCAGGUCAUAGUGAUCCGGUGGUUCUGAAUGGAAGGGCCAUCGCUCAACGGAUAAAAGGUACUCCGGGGAUAACAGGCUGAUACCGCCCAAGAGUUCAUAUCGACGGCGGUGUUUGGCACCUCGAUGUCGGCUCAUCACAUCCUGGGGCUGAAGUAGGUCCCAAGGGUAUGGCUGUUCGCCAUUUAAAGUGGUACGCGAGCUGGGUUUAGAACGUCGUGAGACAGUUCGGUCCCUAUCUGCCGUGGGCGCUGGAGAACUGAGGGGGGCUGCUCCUAGUACGAGAGGACCGGAGUGGACGCAUCACUGGUGUUCGGGUUGUCAUGCCAAUGGCACUGCCCGGUAGCUAAAUGCGGAAGAGAUAAGUGCUGAAAGCAUCUAAGCACGAAACUUGCCCCGAGAUGAGUUCUCCCUGAGACUU